rnacentral:rRNA from 1 species
UACGUAGGGUGCAAGCGUUGUCCGGAAUUAUUGGGCGUAAAGAGCUCGUAGGCGGUCUGUUGCGUCGGCUGUGAAAACCCGGGGCUCAACCCUGGGCCUGCAGCCGAUACGGGCAGACUAGAGUUCGGCAGGGGAGACUGGAAUUCCUGGUGUAGCGGUGAAAUGCGCAGAUAUCAGGAGGAACACCGGUGGCGAAGGCGGGUCUCUGGGCAGUAACUGACGCUGAGGAGCGAAAGCGUGGGGAGCGAACAGG